GGGUAUGAGGGCAGUCUGGCUAUGACUAUGACCCUGUUGAUCUCAACGGUUGAUGCAGUGAUCAGGCUGGUGAAGUGGGUGUAUCCUGCUUUGCUCAAUGCUCCUUUUCCAUCCCUGCCAGCCCAGAAUAGGGACAGACUGGUUCUUCAGUAGAGGAAGCAGAGUAACUGUGUUUCCUUGGUAGAACUUUCAAACAAGCUCUCAAGGAAGAACUUGGGAAGAGGAAAGGAGAGGUUCAAAAUGCCUAUCAGUUUAACCAAAU
rnacentral:snRNA from 1 species